ACCUGGGAACACACUGACCUGUAGCACCUCAUGUCCUCUGAUCGACCCUCAAACUGUCUAUGUGUGGUAUGAAAAUGGAAAACUUUAUAGGGAAAAUAUAAGAAGCAUUUCAACUCCAAGUUCUUUGAAAAACAACUUUUACUGUGCAAUUAAAGGUCAUGAGCAUCUUCAAUCUGAUGACGUCUGUGUUCAGGAUAAAAACUGCUGGACAGUGAAUUAUGUCAGCAGGAGAAUCUGUGCUCUGGAAGGAUCUUCAGUGAACAUUAUCAGUAAAUACUCACAUCCUGAUAACAUGAAACCAGAGUUUAAAUGUUGGAGUAAAAAAUGGAAAACAGGUGAUAAGGAACUUGAAAAACCGAUUGAGCCUUCAGGUCGUGUGGAGUAUCAGGACAACAUGAAGAACCAACACACCCUGACCAUCAAAAACCUGAAGAAGAAUGACUCAGGAGAAUACACCUUCAUCCUGAAAGGAAAUGAUAAAGAACUGAAACUGCCUGGAGUCUUUUUGAUUGUCACAGAGCUGAGAGUGAAGAUGAGUCCUUCUGCAGUGGUGACAGAGGGUCAGAGAGUCACACUGACCUGCAGCACCAGCUGUCCUCUGACUGACAACACAAAUUACAUUUGGUACUUCAA